rnacentral:rRNA from 1 species
CCUACGGGAGGCAGCAGUGGGGGAUAUUGCACAAUGGGGGGAACCCUGAUGCAGCGACGCCGCGUGGGUGAAGAAGCGCCUCGGCGCGUAAAGCCCUGUCAGCAGGGAAGAAAAUGACGGUACCUGAAGAAGAAGCCCCGGCUAACUACGUGCCAGCAGCCGCGGUAAUACGUAGGGGGCAAGCGUUAUCCGGAUUUACUGGGUGUAACGGGGGCGCAGACGGCGAUGCAAGCCAGGAGUGAAAGCCCGGGGCCCGACCCCGGGACUGCUCUAGAAACUGCGUGGCUGGAGUGCAGGAGGGGCAGGUGGAAUUCCUGGUGUAGCGGUGAAAUGCGUAGAUAUCAGGAGGAACACCGGUGGCGAAGGCGGCCUGCUGGACUGCAACUGACGUUGAGGCCCGAAAGCGUGGGGAGCAAACAGGAUUAGAUACCCCUGUAGUC